UAUUAUUUUACGUUUAUAAUAAUUUACUAGAGUAUUAGUAGUUAAGGUCUUGAAACUCAAAGAAUUUGGCGGUAUUUUAGUCUUUUCAGAGGAAUCUGUCCUGUAAUUGAUAAUACACGAUUGACUUUACUUUUUUUUAUUUAGUUUGUAUACCGCCGUCUUAGGAUUGUCUUUAGAGGGUAAAAUUUUCUUUAUUUAAUAUUUUAAUUUAAGUCAGGUCAAGGUGCAGCUUAUGGAGAAGUAGUGAUGGAUUACAAUAAUGGUAAUUAUACGGAUAAUUAUUUAGAAUUGAUUUGGAUUUGAAGGUGGAUUUGAUUGUAAAUUUGAUUAUUAGUCAGGUUGAUUGGGGCUCUAAAAUGUGCACACAUCGCCCGUCGCUCUCGUGGAUUAGGAAUUAGGUAAUGUGAG
rnacentral:rRNA from 1 species